GUGAGUCAUCGAAUCUUUGAACGCAUAUUGCGCUCGAGACUUCGGUCGAGAGCAUGUCUGUCUCAGCGUCGGCUCACCCCUCGCCCCUCCCCUUUUCAUUCUGGAAAGGGCUGGGAGCGGACGUGGCCGUCUCGCUGUUUCUCAUCAAACGGCGGGUCGGCUGAAGUGCAGGGCUCGCGGCGCGACUCUCUCAAAAGAGCGCCAGCAUGGUAGGUGGCUUCACGCUGCAUGCCGCUGUCGCUCGACUGCAGAGGGCUCCAAUGCCGCUCGGCCAUAAGCAGGAACUUUUUUCUCUUGGAA
rnacentral:misc_RNA from 1 species